AACAAGAAGAAAUAACUCAAAGUAUCCAAAUGUCUGCAACUCUGAGUCAGAACCUAGAGAAGCCGUAGGAUAAAAGGGAGUCACAGGCAUAGAACAAUUGGAAGUCUCAGGGAGGAAAGGACGCUUUGCCUCAGACCCAGACAAUUGGCACUCCCGCCCAUUGUACAAACUAUUGGGACUUCCCCCACUGAUUGCUGUGUGGAUGUUUCACAAGAUUGCCCUGUCGGCACAGCAGUCGAUGGACACAGCAGGUAAUGGUCUGCCGUCUCAGAGGGCGCAGCCAGAGGCAAGGCGAUUGUCUGGAGCUGGGCGGUCAUAGAAACCAGACUGAAAUAUAUUGAGAAGUAACUGAGAAGCAAGGAAUUUGAAGGUAAAUUAUCGAUUCCACUUACAUGAAGCUUACUGAAAAAGGGAGGAAAUAAAUAACAGGUGAAGAAUGAAACUAACGGGAAGACUGCAACCUAAAAUGAAACCUCAAAGAAUAAUUCAUUGAAAAAUGAGGCAGGACGCGGACUAUUUGGCAGAGAAUUUUCACGUCUUGUUAUUUCUAUCCACAAAGUCCUGUGAGAUUUUUCUCCUUAUCAUACAAAAUGUUCAAUGGAGUAACUGUAAACUUAAGGAGAAUUGAGACAUUUCAUAACUCUCCUAUUACUGCAGAAAUGUUAUUUUCCUCUAAAUUGGCUUCAUGGUGUUGUCCAGGGACUGGUUUGAGGUAUCAGAAAAAAGUUUAACUAGAGCUGGUAUCACCUACAGUGUAUAGCUAAGACAGAAUCAUUCACUGUAAAAGUGGUGACAAAUUUAAUGGAAGCCAGGUUGUGGAAGGAGUCAACUGUGCCUUAGCAGAGUAAUGCUAGUGUCAUCAUGUUUUUAGAAACAAUGUCAAGAUUCUCAGUAAAAGGAGAAAUAUGCAUUUUUUUGUAUGUGCGUAAAGCUAGAAUACAUUAUCUCCAGAAAAAUAGGAAGAAAUAAAAUAAAAAUUAUUAAAUUAACCUCCACAUUUCCAAUGUUUAUUGCUUUUUAGAUAACUAGUGUGGAAAUCAAUAAAGCUCUACGUGCUGUGUGGGAGAUUGAAUUGGCAUUACAGCGUAAAUAAUGGGUCAGAGCAAUCACCUUUCCUUUCAGUCUAGAAACAGAGAUAGGAGGACCUCAUUUAGGACCUCCUGGUCAAUGACUGUGUGGGGGAGGAAGACAUUUCCUGUACUCACUCUGGGUCCUUUUGGCUGGACAAUGAAUUAAAUUCACAUGGGACAGAAUAACAGGAGAAAAGUAAACAAAGCUUUACAACAUGUGUACAUGGGAGAGGCUCAGGCUAAUUGAGCAACUCACCAAAAUGGCUGAAGCCAU
rnacentral:lncRNA from 1 species